GAUGAACGCUGGCGGCGUGCCUAAUACAUGCAAGUCGAGCGAACGGACGAGAAGCUUGCUUCUCUGAUGUUAGCGGCGGACGGGUGAGUAACACGUGGAUAACCUACCUAUAAGACUGGGAUAACUUCGGGAAACCGGAGCUAAUACCGGAUAAUAUUUUGAACCGCAUGGUUCAAAAGUGAAAGACGGUCUUGCUGUCACUUAUAGAUGGAUCCGCGCUGCAUUAGCUAGUUGGUAAGGUAACGGCUUACCAAGGCAACGAUGCAUAGCCGACCUGAGAGGGUGAUCGGCCACACUGGAACUGAGACACGGUCCAGACUCCUACGGGAGGCAGCAGUAGGGAAUCUUCCGCAAUGGGCGAAAGCCUGACGGAGCAACGCCGCGUGAGUGAUGAAGGUCUUCGGAUCGUAAAACUCUGUUAUUAGGGAAGAACAUAUGUGUAAGUAACUGUGCACAUCUUGACGGUACCUAAUCAGAAAGCCACGGCUAACUACGUGCCAGCAGCCGCGGUAAUACGUAGGUGGCAAGCGUUAUCCGGAAUUAUUGGGCGUAAAGCGCGCGUAGGCGGUUUUUUAAGUCUGAUGUGAAAGCCCACGGCUCAACCGUGGAGGGUCAUUGGAAACUGGAAAACUUGAGUGCAGAAGGGGAAAGUGGAAUUCCAUGUGUAGCGGUGAAAUGCGCAGAGAUAUGGAGGAACACCAGUGGCGAAGGCGACUUUCUGGUCUGUAACUGACGCUGAUGUGCGAAAGCGUGGGGAUCAAACAGGAUUAGAUACCCUGGUAGUCCACGCCGUAAACGAUGAGUGCUAAGUGUUAGGGGGUUUCCGCCCCUUAGUGCUGCAGCUAACGCAUUAAGCACUCCGCCUGGGGAGUACGACCGCAAGGUUGAAACUCAAAGGAAUUGACGGGGACCCGCACAAGCGGUGGAGCAUGUGGUUUAAUUCGAAGCAACGCGAAGAACCUUACCAAAUCUUGACAUCCUUUGACAACUCUAGAGAUAGAGCCUUCCCCUUCGGGGGACAAAGUGACAGGUGGUGCAUGGUUGUCGUCAGCUCGUGUCGUGAGAUGUUGGGUUAAGUCCCGCAACGAGCGCAACCCUUAAGCUUAGUUGCCAUCAUUAAGUUGGGCACUCUAAGUUGACUGCCGGUGACAAACCGGAGGAAGGUGGGGAUGACGUCAAAUCAUCAUGCCCCUUAUGAUUUGGGCUACACACGUGCUACAAUGGACAAUACAAAGGGCAGCGAAACCGCGAGGUCAAGCAAAUCCCAUAAAGUUGUUCUCAGUUCGAAUUGUAGUCUGCAACUCGACUACAUGAAGCUGGAAUCGCUAGUAAUCGUAGAUCAGCAUGCUACGGUGAAUACGUUCCCGGGUCU
rnacentral:rRNA from 1 species